GUGAGGAAUAUUGGUCAAUGGACGGAAGUCUGAACCAGCCAUGCCGCGUGCAGGAAUAAGGUCCUAUGGAUUGUAAACUGCUUUUAUUCGGGAAUAAACCUCUUUACGUGUAGGGAGCUGAAGGUACCGAAGGAAUAAGCACCGGCUAACUCCGUGCCAGCAGCCGCGGUAAUACGGAGGGUGCAAGCGUUAUCCGGAAUCAUUGGGUUUAAAGGGUCCGCAGGCGGGCUAUCAAGUCAGAGGUGAAAUCCCACAGCUUAACUGUGGAACUGCCUUUGAAACUGAUGGUCUUGAAUUAAGUGGGCGUUGGCGGAAUAUGACAUGUAGCGGUGAAAUGCAUAGAUAUGUCAUGGAACACCGAAAGCGAAGGCAGCUAACGAUACUUAUAUUGACGCUCAUGGACGAAAGCGUGGGUAGCGAACAGGAUUAGAUACCCAAGUAGUCC
rnacentral:rRNA from 1 species